rnacentral:rRNA from 1 species
AACGAACGCUGGCGGCAUGCCUAACACAUGCAAGUCGAACGAGACCUUCGGGUCUAGUGGCGCACGGGUGCUUAACGCGUGGGAACCUGCCCUUAGGUUCGGAAUAACUCCCCGAAAGGGGUGCUAAUACCGGAUAAUGUCUUCGGACCAAAGAUUUAUCGCCUUUGGAUGGGCCCGCGUUGGAUUAGCUAGUUGGUAGGGUAAAAGCCUACCAAGGCGACGAUCCAUAGCUGGUCUGAGAGGAUGAUCAGCCACACUGGGACUGAGACACGGCCCAGACUCCUACGGGAGGCAGCAGUGGGGAAUAUUGGACAAUGGGCGAAAGCCUGAUCCAGCAAUGCCGCGUGAGUGAUGAAGGCCGUAGGGUUGUAAAGCUCUUUUACCCGGGAUGAUAAUGACAGUACCGGGAGAAUAAGCUCCGGCUAACUCCGUG